rnacentral:rRNA from 1 species
GGUUUGAUCAUGGCUCAGAUUGAACGCUGGCGGGAUGCUUUAUACGUAAGUCGAACGGCAGCACGGACUUCGGUCUGGUGGCGAGUAUGAACGGGUGAGUAAUGUAUCGGAACGUGCCUAGUAGCGGGGGAUAACUACGCGAAAGCGUGGUAGCUAAUACCGCACAUUGUCACCCUCGGGGGAAAGCGGGGACCUUCGGGCCCCGCACUAUUAGAGCGGCCGAUAUCGGAUUAGCUAGUUGGUGGGGUAACGGCUCACCAAGGCGACGAUCCGUAGCUGGUUUGAGAGUGGAAUACCAGCCACACUGACUGAGACACGGCCCAGACUUACGGAGGCAGCAGUGGGGAAUUUUGGACAAAUGGGAAACCCUGAUCCAGCCAUCCCGCGCGUGCGAUGAAGGCCUUCGGGUUGUAAAGCACUUUUGGCAGGAAAGAAAUGGCACGGAUAAUACCCCGUGCAACUGACGGUACCUGCAGAAUAAGCACCGGCUAACUACGUGCCAGCAGCCGCGGUAAUACGUAGUGCUGCUAACGGAAUUACUGGGCGUAAAGCGUAGGUGUUAAUUCUGCGCAAAGACGGAACUUGGAGCUAUCCCAGAAAUCAAAUUUUAAGACCAUCGAGUUAGAGGCCAGGGAAUGGAAUCUGCACAAAUGCGCAGAUUACAAAGAGGAAACAACGACACGAAGGCAGCCCUCCUGGGAUAACACUGACGCUCAUGCACGAAAGCGUGGGGAGCAAACAGGAUUAGAUACCCUGGUAGUCCACGCCCUAAACGAUGUCAACUAGCCGUUGGGGCCUCGGGCCUUGGUAGCGCAGCUAACGCGUGAAGUUGACCGCCCGGGGAGUACGGUCGCAAGAUUAAAACUCAAAGAAUUGACGGGACCGCACAAGCGGCGGAUGAUGUGGAUUAAUUCGAUGCAACGCGAAAAACCUUACCUACCCGCGAUGUCUGGAAUCCCGAAGAGAUUUGGGAGUGCUCGCAAGAGGAACUGAACACAGGUGCUGCAUGGCUAAGCCGUCAGCUCGUGUCGAGAUGUUGGGUUAAGUCCCGCAACGAGCGCAACCCUUGUCAUUAGUUGCUACGAAAGGGCACUCUAAUGAGAGACUGCCGGUGACAAACCGAGGAAGGUGAUGACGUCAAGUCCUCAUGGCCCUUAUGGGUAGGGUCACGACGUCAUACAAUGGUCGGGACAGAGGGUCGCCAACCCGCGAGAGUGGGGAGCCAAAUCCCAGAACCCGAUCGUGGUCCGGAUCGCAGUCUGCAACUCGACUGCGUGAAGUCGGAAUCGCUAGUAAUCGCGGAUCAGCAUGUCGCGGUGAAUACGUUCCCGGGUCUUGUACACACCGCCCGUCACACCAUGGGAGUGGGCCACCAGAAGUAGUUAGCCUAAAUCGUAAGGAGGGCGAUUACCAUGGUAGGAUUCAUGACUGGGGUGAAGUCGUAACAAG